GUGAUUUACUUCCAGAUUUAUUUUUUGUCAUUUGAGGUUAUGUCAUUGUGAAUUGUAAGCGGCUCCUUCAGGUUUGAAUUGAUGAUUUUCUUAAAAUGAAUAACUUUAUAUGGGUUAUUACUACAUUUCAAUCAGCAAAUAAUCCUUUUUGGAAGCUUUAAUGCAGGUAAAUAAAAGUUUUUGCUUAAAAAUCUUGUUUAUAUUUAAAGUUUAAAAAGCAAUUUCGUUUUAAACUACAUUUAACGUUAAUUUAAUUUUAACGUUUAAGUCAGUUCAUACUUUAAAAGUCGAUUAUGACUUUUUAAAGCAUAAUUUUUAAUGUUUUUAAUAUAAAGUUUAACUUAUUUUGGAACGUCAUAAUUAACUUGGAGAGUGUUGCGUAGCAACGACCAAGAUGGGCGAAUUUCAAUUCCACCAACUUCAAAAAAAUAAAAACAUUAAAAAAAUUUUGUUUAAUUAACACAAUUUAAGGAAUAUUUAAAAGUAAUUUUUAUUAAUUACUAGUUUUAAUUCGUUUCAUUAAGCUAAUUAAACGAUUAAUUAAUGAAUCCAAUUUUAUUUCAUUUUAAUUUAUGUGAUUUACUUCCAGAUUUAUUUUUUGACAUUUGAGGUUAUGUCAUUGUGAAUUGUAAGCGGCUUCAUCACGUUUGAAUUGAUGAUUUUCUUAAAAUGAAUAACUUUAUAUGGGUUAUUACUACAUUUCAAUCAGCAAAUAAUCCUUUUUGGAAGCUUUAAUGCAGGUAAAUAAAAGUUUUUGCUUAAAAAUCUUGUUUAUAUUUAAAGUUUAAAAAGCAAUUUCGUUUUAAACUACAUUUAACGUUAAUCUAACUUUAACGUUUAAGUCAGUUAAAACUUGAAAAGUCGAUUAUGGCUUUUUAAAGCAUAAUUUUUAAUGUUUUUAAUAUAAAGUUUAAAUUAUUUUGGAACGUCAUAAUUAAUUUGGAGAGUGUUGCAUAGCAAUGACCAAGAUGGGCGAAUUUCAAUUCCACCAACUUCAAAAAAAUAAAAACAUUAAAAAGAUUUUGUUUAAUUAACACAAUUUAAGGAAUAUUUAAAAGUAAUUUUUAUUAAUUACUAGUUUUAAUUCGUUUCAUUAAGCUAAUUAAACGAUUAAUUGAUGAAUCCAAUUUUAUUUCAUUUUAAUUUAUGUGAUUUACUUCCAGAUUUAUUUUUUGACAUUUGAGGUUAUGUCAUUGUGAAUUGUAAGCGGCUUCUUCACUUUUGAAUUGAUGAUUUUCUUAAAAUGAAUAACUUUAUAUUGGUUAUUACUACAUUUCAAUCAGCAAAUAAUCCUUUUUGGAUGCUUUAAUGAAGAUUUAUUUUUUGACAUUUGAGGUUAUGUCAUUGUGAAUUGUAAGCGGCUUCUUCACGUUUGAAUUGAUGAUUUUCUUAAAAUGAAUAACUUUAUAUGGGUUAUUACUACAUUUCAAUCAGCAAAUAAUCCUUUUUGGAAGCUUUAAUGACGAUUUAUUUUUUGACAUUUGAGGUUAUGUCAUUGCGGCUUCUUCACGUUUGAAUUGAUGAUUUUCUUAAAAUGAAUAACUUUAUAUGGGUUAUUACUACAUUUCAACCAGCAAAUAAUCCUUUUUGGAAGCUUUAAUGAAGAUUUAUUUUUUGACAUUUGAGGUUAUGUCAUUGUGAAUUAUAAGCGGCUUCUUCACGUUUGAAUUGAUGAUUUUCUUAAAAUGAAUAACUUUGAUGUGUUAUUAUUACAUUACAAUCAACAAAUAAUCCUUUUUGGAUGCUUUAAUGAAGAUUUAUUUUUUGACAUUUGAGGUUAUGUCAUUAUUGUGAACUGCCAAAAUGUUUGAAUUGAUGGGUUACAAACACUAAAGAAUCUUCAAUUGC